AUUGAACGCUGGCGGCAGGCCUAACACAUGCAAGUCGGACGGUAGCACAGAGAGCUUGCUCUCGGGUGACGAGUGGCGGACGGGUGAGUAAUGUCUGGGGAUCUGCCCGAUAGAGGGGGGAUAACCACUGGAAACGGUGGCUAAUACCGCAUAACGUCGCAAGACCAAAGAGGGGGACCUUCGGGCCUCUCACUAUCGGAUGAACCCAGAUGGGAUUAGCUAGUAGGCGGGGUAAUGGCCCACCUAGGCGACGAUCCCUAGCUGGUCUGAGAGGAUGACCAGCCACACUGGAACUGAGACACGGUCCAGACUCCUACGGGAGGCAGCAGUGGGGAAUAUUGCACAAUGGGCGCAAGCCUGAUGCAGCCAUGCCGCGUGUAUGAAGAAGGCCUUCGGGUUGUAAAGUACUUUCAGCGGGGAGGAAGGCGGUGCGGUUAAUAACCGCGCCGAUUGACGUUACCCGCAGAAGAAGCACCGGCUAACUCCGUGUCAGCAGCCGCCGUAA
rnacentral:rRNA from 1 species